rnacentral:lncRNA from 10 species
AAAAUUCCAACCUUCCCUUUCACCUUUGGAGAUGCUACCAAAGCUUUAUGAGGUGGAGUUCUCCCUUUCCAUGGUAAGCAAUCAACUCAGCUUUGUCUUAUCAGCAGGCUAUGUUAGUGAUAUUUGGGAAGCCAGCUUUCAACUCCAGAGAGAGAAUAUGAGCAAUACAGAGUAGAUACCAUUGCUACCACUAAUGAGUUUAUGGGUAUCCACAACUUGGUAAUUCCCAGGAAUGAUGGGAGUCACUUUGGGGAUGGGGGUAAGACUUCUACUCACGGUUUAUGCAGCUAUGAAGUUUAGAACUCUCAGUGUAAUUUGUGGCCCUCUUACAUGAAGAUCUUCAUUGCCAUUAGUAUAAAUUCCCAACUCUUUAGCACGUUUUAUUACCCAUAUAAAAUGUGGCCCUGCUCUCUUCUCAGCUAUAAUGCUUACGCGGCCUCCUCCCAGUUUUAACACCUAAAGUCUCAUGUCCGAGAAAAUCCCUAGAUCCAGGCAAACUAGGACAGUCAGUCACCUUAUUUCUUGUAAUCUUGCCAUGAUUACACACCAAAGGGAGCUCUAGAUUCUGACAGCUCAUGUUUGGGAUCCUCCACUCACCAACAGGGUGACCUUGGGCAUGUCACUGAACUCAUGUGUCCAGUGCCUUAGUUUACUAAUUGGUAAAGUGACACUAAGAGGAGCAACUGUUUCGUGUGGUUGUUGUAAGAAUGAAAUGAGAUACUACUGGUGAAGAUCUUUGAAUGCUUGGCACAUAGCAAAUACUUGAGAAAUAUUAGUUCAAAGAAUAAUUGGCUAAUAAUAUUUAGAACAAUUCUGUCUUGUUUAUAACUUUGUUUUCUGGCUUAGCACCAGGACUGGCACAGAAUAAACUUUAAAAUAUGCCUUUAAAUAAAUGAAUAGGCUGGGUGCGGUGGCUUAUGCCUGUAAUCCCAGCACUUUGGGAGGCCUAGGCGGGUGGUUCAUUUGAGGUCAGGAGUUUGAGACCACCCUAGCCAGCAUGGUGAAACCCCAUCUAACAAAACAUGGGAAGCAGGAGAGCAGAGACUUGGAAUAAUUUCUCUAUUUUAUUCAAAGUAAGUUUAUUUUAAAAGGCAUCUAAUUUGUAGAAUGAUUUUUCUUCUUUGGAAUUUGGUUCUAAACCUUUCUAGUCUAGCAUUAUACAUAUCGAUUUUUCCUGGCGACAUCACACUGAAAUCUGAUUAGCACCAGAUUACAGUAUGGCCCAGCUUUUUAAAGAGCCUUGCAAACCAAAUCCUAGGCAAUGGUUCAACUGAUCUAAGUGGGCCUCUUCAAGGAAGCCAGUGAGCGGGGAUGCUGGAGUGGCAAACAGAGGAGUUAACUUGUGAUAAUACUUGCCCAAGCCUUGAAAGUCGAACAUCUGCUUCUUGGCCUCAAAAGUGAAACAAUCCAAUAAUUACAGUCCUUGGUGCUUUUUUUUUCUACCUCAGGAAACAUUUUGCAACUAACUAGCAAUUUCCAAAAAUAUGGCUCAAGCAACACAUCUCCUUAUCUCCUUGUGUAGGAGAGGGUGUGAGUUGUGAUGAGACAGGGGCUCGUUAUCUUAGGGGGCUCUGGCAAGGUGCUCUGGAGGACAGCUUUUAAUUGGGUAAGCGUGUGAUAUCUAGGUCUGGGGCUUUGAAACUGUCUUGCAGGAUAGAUAGCCAAGGCCCCAUUUCUAAGUCUUCUAGUUAGUACAAAUUGCAAUGGCAAGCCGGGUGGGCAGGAAGAGGGAUGAGUGGGGAAGGAAGGCUAGUAAAUAGCUUGGCAUUUUCAUACCCCUCUCUGGGAGCUGAGAGUUUGCUUUCGGUUUUUCAGAGAUCCCAGGUUUUUGGAACCUGUUCAGGAAGAAAGACAAGAAUUCCAGGUGAUCAGCCCACUCGUCACUAUAAGUAGCAGGUGGCCAGGUGUGGGGACUAUAAAUGCUGCCAUCAGUCAUGGCACCCAGUGAUUGCACGAUGGUGGGACACUACCAACAAGGCAGGCAUUCUCUCUGCUUAAACCAAAGAGAAAGAAACGUUACGAUUGAAUUGGAUUAACUUCUGCCUUGGUGUCAGCCCCGAAAUAACUUACAGGUACCCACAUUCAGAGCCACAUGAAAUAUGGAUCCUUCUAUAGUGACAACCGACCUGCCUUCUGUCUUGAUUUCAAGACCUUGUAUCCAUAGCAGUAAUUCUCACAUUUCAGUGAGCAUAAAAAUCACCUUUGAGCUUUUAAAAACUUAGAUAUUGAGAUUCAGCUUUGUAGUUGCCUCUUUCAGGCAGUCUUCCCUGAUUUCUGAAGCCUCUCUUUUGGGCUCUCAUAAUACCCUAGGAAAAUCAAAAACAAGGAAACUUGUCUAUCUUCUCAUAUUGUCUUUAGAGCACUGCCUCUGACUAAUAUUAGCCAGCAGACAUAUUUGUCCCAAGAUUUGUUAAACUUACUCC